rnacentral:rRNA from 1 species
GAUGAACGCUGGCGGCGUGCCUAAUACAUGCAAGUAGAACGCUGAAGGAGGAGCUUGCUCUUCUGGAUGAGUUGCGAACGGGUGAGUAACGCGUAGGUAACCUGCCUGGUAGCGGGGGAUAACUAUUGGAAACGAUAGCUAAUACCGCAUGACAACAGUUAUUGCAUGAUAACUGUUUAAAAGGGGCAACUGCUCCACUACCAGAUGGACCUGCGUUGUAUUAGCUAGUUGGUGAGGUAACGGCUCACCAAGGCGACGAUACAUAGCCGACCUGAGAGGGUGAUCGGCCACACUGGGACUGAGACACGGCCCAGACUCCUACGGGAGGCAGCAGUAGGGAAUCUUCGGCAAUGGACGGAAGUCUGACCGAGCAACGCCGCGUGAGUGAAGAAGGGUUUCGGAUCGUAAAGCUCUGUUGUAAGAGAAGAACGAGUGUGAGAGUGGAAAGUUCACACUGUGACGGUAUCUUACCAGAAAGGGACGGCUAGCUACGUG